rnacentral:rRNA from 1 species
CCUACGGGCGACAGCAGUGGGGAAUAUUGGGCAAUGGGCGCAAGCCUGACCCAGCAAUGCCGCGUGAAGGAAGAAGGCUUUCGGGUUGUAAACUUCUUUUAUAAAGGAAUAAAGUGAGGCACGUGUGCCUUUUUGUAUGUACUUUAUGAAUAAGGAUCGGCUAACUCCGUGCCAGCAGCCGCGGUAAUACGGAGGAUCCGAGCGUUAUCCGGAUUUAUUGGGUUUAAAGGGAGCGUAGGCGGAUUUUUAAGUCAGCGGUAAAAUGUCCGGGCUCAACCCGGGCCGGCCGUUGAAACUGGGGAUCUUGAGUGGGCGAGAAGUAUGCGGAAUGCGUGGUGUAGCGGUGAAAUGCAUAGAUAUCACGCAGAACUCCGAUUGCGAAGGCAGCAUACCGGCGCCCGACUGACGCUGAGGCACGAAAGCGUGGGGAUCGAACAGGAUUAGAUACCCGUGUAGUC